rnacentral:misc_RNA from 1 species
CGACAAUGAAGUUCAGCGAGUUAUCGGACAUGCCUUGGCCGACCAUGGGCUGAUCUAGAACGACUGGGAUGCCAAGGGAUUUGAGUUGGGACAUGGGACCGAUGCCGCUGAGCAUGAGUAGAUGGGGGCUGCCGAUGGCGCCGGCGGAGAGGAUGACCUCGCCGGAGUUGAGAUAAGCUAUGUGUUGUUUACCGUCUGUGUCACGGAAUGCCACACCACGGG